rnacentral:rRNA from 1 species
AUUGAACGCUGGCGGCAUGCUUUACACAUGCAAGUCGAACGGUAACAGGUUAAGCUGACGAGUGGCGAACGGGUGAGUAAUGCAUCGGAACGUGCCCGGUCGUGGGGGAUAACGCAGCGAAAGCUGCGCUAAUACCGCAUACGAUCUGAGGAUGAAAGCGGGGGACCGUAAGGCCUCGCGCGAUCGGAGCGGCCGAUGUCAGAUUAGGUAGUUGGUGGGGUAAAGGCUCACCAAGCCAACGAUCUGUAGCUGGUCUGAGAGGACGACCAGCCACACUGGGACUGAGACACGGCACAGACGCCUACGAGAGGCAGCAGUGGGGAAUUUUGGACAAUGGGCGAAAGCCUGAUCCAGCAAUGCCGCGUGCAGGAAGAAGGCCUUCGGGUUGUAAACUGCUUUUGUACGGAGCGAAAAGGUCUCCUCUAAUACAGGGGGCUCAUGACGGUACCGUAAGAAUAAGCACCGGCUAACUACGUGCCAGCAGCCGCGGUAA